GGGGCGGGGGGAGGGUUCUUCUCGGUGUUUCGAGUAACAUCAAGCCGGGAGGCAGAGCUGUUCAAGGUGAAUCCUAGAUGGCUCCUAGGCCCUUUCCCCUGGGAGAGGAAAGGGGGACAGGACCCAAAAUGAAGACUCAGAAACUGAAAAUACAGCAGAGGGUAGGGCAGAGCAUAAACAUUUGGUCCAAAUGGUUGGAGACACUGUUGAUAACAGAGGAAACCUGGGAAUUGAUGCACGUCUAUAUGCUGUUGCCUCUCCUUUUUCCUGCACUUCUAAGGGCUCAUUUGCUCAGUUGAGAUCAUCCAGGUAUGGAUAAGGAGAGACGGCUCUUGUUACGAGUUGAAUUAUAUCCCCCAAAGAAGCCAGCACCCAGGCAAGGAGUCCAUGUCAUAAAAUGACCUACACCUCUGGAGACAGAUCUGCUUUGGUGGGAGGCCCUACUGUUCCUCAGCGUUUUAACCUUGGGGAAAUUACUGAGUCUGUCUUCUGUUUCAAUUCCUUAUCUGAAAUAUGGGGAUGAUGGUAAUAAAGAGGUUGUUGCGAGCAUCA